AGGCCGGGAUUCCAACGUAAGACUCCGAAGAGGUGCGCCUAGGCUUGGUAGGGGCUGAGGUUACUAAGAGUCUUCUUGGAAGAAUGUUACUACACGUACUGGCGAAGCCGAGAAGAGAGCGUCUGAUUCAGUAAGUCUGGAGAAGGGCCCAAGACUCAAAUUCUGACAAGCUUCUAAGUGAUGCUGAUACUUCUGGUCCAGGGACUCGCUGUGGGAGAAACACGAAUCUAGACCAUCUCACUUCAAAUUCUGGACUUCUUAUACACUGCCACACUGAAAUGGUCGAUAAAGGGCAGGAGUGGAGGCAGGUGCCCUGAACACAUUUGUCCUGCGAAGAAAUCUAAUGAAGUAUUGGAGUUACAACCCAGUAAUUGCUGCCCUGGGGAAUGUUCACACGAACCUUGAGCUUCUAAUUAUAGGGGAGGCUGAGGACCGAGUUCUCCCCGAAAUGUGCUUCAUACGUUUUGCUACCUUUCUGACUGUGGGGCCAAGACCCAGCCUUACACAGAAGUGGAGAAGAAAGCACCCUAACCCAAGGACAGAUCUCUACCUGUGAAGUGGAUUUUGUUAGACUGGAUUUCCAAACGUUGAGUCAUUAUUUGGGAGAAAAAGAAGUAUAAAAUUUUCUAAGAAAAGAAUAUAAAGGAAGUAUGAGAAAGUUGUAUGCUGGUGAAGGAGUUUAAGAAAUGUCUUUGGGUUCACCCAAAGUUUUCUCAUUCAGCUAUGCCCAAGAUAAAAGAUAUAUGUUUGUUAUAAUCUAUGUGCCAGACUCUUACUAAUUUGUAAUCAUCACUGUGGUGCUUAGAGAGAGGUGCUAUUGUGAUCUGAUAGAUGAAAAAUUUUAAGGGUAGGGGCUUACACACAAUUAAUAAAUGAGUGAGUGUGGAUUCAAAACCAGCUCUCUCAGCCUCUAGAGCAGCUGAU